rnacentral:lncRNA from 1 species
GGUUCAUGAACUUGGUUUAUUUUGGUUAAUGGGCCUUGAUUCAUGAACUUGGGUUAUGAUCCAUGGUGUUUGGUUCACGAACUUGGGUAAGAUUCAUGGAUAUGGUUCGUGGUUCAUGAACUUGGUUUAUGAGUUUUGGUUCAUGAGACUUGAUUCAUGAACUUGGAUAUAGGAUUUGGGAUUUGGUUCACGAACUUAGGUAUGGUUUAGGUUCAUGAGCCGAAGUUGGAAGUUGGAUUUGGGUUUUGGGUUUGGAUUUGGAUUAUGGACUUUAUUUGGGUUGGGUUUGGGUUUUGGUUUUGGGUUCGGGUUUCGGUUUGGAUUUUGGUUUUGUUUUGGUUUGGGUUUGGAUUUGAUUUGGUUUGGGUUUGGGUUUAUUUGUGGAUUUGGGUUUGGAUUUGGGUUGGGUUUGGAUUUUAUUUGUGGAAUGGUUUGGGUUUAUUUGGACUUUGGGCUUGGAUUUUUAUGUGGACUGGAUUUGAAUUUGGUUUGGAUGUGGACUUGAUUCGGAUUUGGUUUCGUAUCUGAACUUGAUUCGGAUUUGGUUUGUAUGUGGACUUGAUUUUCUUUUCAAUUCUAUUUCGGGUUCGAGACAAUUCUCUUUUGAUUUUGCAACUUGAUUCGGAUCCGAAGAAAUCCCUUUUUGAUUUUGGUUUGAUUUGGGGUCCAAAGAAAUUCCCUUUUCAUCUCGAUUUGGAUUUGGGGUCCGAAGAAAUCUCCAUUUUGAUUUUUCAAUUUGAUUUGGGGUCCAAAGAAAUU